rnacentral:lncRNA from 1 species
GAUGCGAUGGAUGCUGAAUGAUAUGUGACUGAGUGAACCGCAGUGCACUCUGGGAAACCCGGAAGGAGAUGGCUAUCAUGAAAAAUGAUGUUUUUGCCUAUAAUUCAAUAUCCAGGUAAUUUGUCACAGCAAGAGGAGGAAAUGGAACGAAUGCACACAGCAGCUAGUAAACAUGAGCAAGAGACAGGAAUGUAAUGGCCAUCUUACUCUCUGGGUCCUCGGGUGUAAGAGGGACCAAACUCAUAAGUCA